UGUGCUGUAGGAAGAAAAAAAUUAAUGGAGAUAUCUUUUCUUUCCUCCCAUAUGAUUUGAGUUGGAUAGUAUUUUUUUGACAUAGGAUCGUGUUUAAAUGGAUGGCCCAAUCUAUGAAUCCUGCAAGAUUUUUGAUCUAAUUCUAUAAAAAUAUCCAAAUUGACCUUAAAUUUUUGGAUAAAAAUAUUUUUAUCGAAAACA
rnacentral:lncRNA from 1 species